rfam:Caenorhabditis japonica strain DF5081 Contig18112.17, whole genome shotgun sequence.
GUUGUGAAAUAAUCAAAUACAGAGCCUUUAAGAAGACUCAAAGUACAAUUUUUGCAAACCCUAUCUUUUCCAAGUCAGGGUA